CGCCUCCCUCCGCCGCCACUCAGACUCCGUACGGGAGGCGAGCAGUGAGGAAUAUUGGUCAAUGGACGCAAGUCUGAACCACGCCAUGCCGCGUGAAGGAUGAAGCCUUCUGGUUGUAACUUCUUUACCUGGAAGAACCCGAUUUCUAAUCGGUUGACGGUACCAGAGGAAUAAGCACCGGCUAACUCCGUGCCAGCAGCCGCGUAAUAC
rnacentral:rRNA from 1 species